rnacentral:lncRNA from 1 species
GCAAGGUCUCCAGCUAGGUUUUUUUUUUUGUUUUUGUUUUGUUUUGUUUUGUUUUGUUUUUGACAUGGAAACUUUAGAGCUACUAUUUUAAGGAAUGUCAUCCAUCUAGAAGAAGCACAACCAGAGGAAGGCACGAGCAUGAGGCUAGGAGAAAGUGGAUCAGUUGGGAAGAUUCAACAGGGUUAAGGGGAUGAUUUACCUUCUUCAAAGCAGUUCUGCAAGUCCUGUUUCCUGUCUUCAGUUGUGCUGUUGCGGCUGCCUUGACGUUCUGAAUCAAUGCAA